rnacentral:ncRNA from 1 species
CAAAAGCUUGGUCCUGACUUUUCUGUCAGUUUUGUUCAAAUUUAUACAUGCAAGUAUCCGCAUCCCUGUGAGAAUGCCCUACAUUUUGCCUCAGCAAAAAAAGGAGCUGAAAUUAGGCACAACUUUGUUAGCCCACAAUUUCUUGUUAAACCACACCCCCAAGGGAACUCAGCAGUAAUAAACAUUAAGCUAUAAGUGUAAACUUGACUUAGUUAAGAGCAAGAGGGCCGGUAAAACUCGUGCCAGCCACCGCGGUUAUACGAGAGGCCCAAAUUGACGCCCGUCGGCAUAAAAUGCGGUUAAUUAUAGUAAUGCACUAAAACCAAAUGCCCUCAAAGCUGUUAUACGCACCCGAGGGUUAGAGGAUCUAUAACGAAGGUAGUUUUAAACAUUAUGACCCGCGAAAGCUAGGAAACAAACUGGGAUUAGAAACCCCACUAUGCCUAGCCCUAAACAAUUGUAGCACAACAUACCCGCUACUUGCCAGGAAACUACAAGCUCCAGCUUAAAACCCAAAGGACUUGGCGGUGCUUUAGACCCACCUAGAGGAGCCUGUUCUAGAACCGAUAACCCCCGUUAAACCUCACCCUCUCUUGUUUAUUCCGCCUAUAUACCGCCGUCGUCAGCCUACCCUGUGAGGGGCUAAUAGUGGGCAAAAUUGGUACAACCCAAAACGCCAGGUCGAGGUGUAGCGUAUGAGAGGGGAAGAAAUGGGCUACAUUCACUGCCCCAGUGUAAACGAAUGAUGUUUUGAAACACCCAUCUAAAGGAGGAUUUAGCAGUAAGCAGAGAAUAGAGAGCUCCGCUGAAACUGGCCCUGAAGCGCGCACACACCGCCCGUCACUCUCCUCAAUAACCCGCACAACUUAUAUAAACCACAAGAAUAUUAAAGAGGAGGCAAGUCGUAACAUGGUAAGUGUACCGGAAGGUGCACUUGGAAAACC